rnacentral:snRNA from 1 species
GUGCUCGCUUCGGCAGCACACAAACUAAAAUUGGAAUGAUACAGAGAAGAUUAGUAUGGCCUCCAUGCAAGGAUGACAUGCAAAUUUGUGAAGCAUUCCAUAUUUUU